CUCGAUGUCAAGUGCACGCCCCGUUUCCUGUUUACCUGAUUUCCGCCUUGGUCGCAGGUCCUUUUAUGGUGGAUCUCCCCUGGAAGCUACCUAUUUACAGAUCAUUGCUGGUAACCGCGGUUAGUAGCCGAGUAAGCGUAAUGGGCUCUCCCCUUCCCUGAGCAAGUAGACGCUGC